GUGAUUGCUCAUGGAAUCAAUGUCGGAGAUGUGAAGAAGCUUCAAGAUGCUAGGAUCUACACUUGCAAUGGCUUGAUGAUGCACACGAAGAAGAACUACUCAAUCAUUUCCGACCAUCAAGAAGUCAUUGAUGGAAGACCAGGGACUCUGGGAAUAGAAUCCUUUGUAGGACGUGCCCGAGGGAAACACCAAGGACCAAAAGAUUGACACAUUCAAUAAGCAAAACAAUGUCAAAACCCAGGUCAACCCAAUACAAUUCAGCAACAUUAAGACAAGUAAAAAACACUAACACACAUUUUUAAGUAAAAAAAUAAUUCUAAAUUUUAACUAAAAGGACACCAUCACCCACAAAACUAACACAAAUGUCAAAGACAGCCACAAUCCAUCAAUAAGCAUCCAAACACAGUAAAAGUUUGGAGGAACUGAACUAGAUUGGAAGAUCAUGUAGUUAUAGAUUAAAUUGUUGUCUUCUUUUAGGAGUAUUUUGUCUUCAGUCCACCAACAUAAAUGAGAUGGUUCAGCUGAGCCUAUGACAGUAAAGUCUAUGAGGUCCACCAUGACUAUCAUUAUGACAUUGUGAUUUGUUCAUGAUCACAUUAUACAUUACAAUAAAUAAAAAUUUUAAGUAUCAAAGUUUUUUGUCUUCAAAAAAUAAGAAUUUUGUUGUAAAAAUCAUUUGAAACCAAUUCUUAUCGUGGAGAAUUUUGUUAUAAAAAACAUUUGGGACCAAUUCUUAUCGUGACGAGUAUAAUCGUUAAAAAGUCA